ensembl:misc_RNA
UUGACAACUGUGGAAACUGAAGCUCUUUCUUAUUCCCAUGCCAGAUACAGCAUGAGCAGUGUCAGCCAAAGCUUCUCGUGCUGUUUCCUUCCAGAUGGUUCAAUCCUAUUGUUCUGGCACUUGCUUGCGUUCAAGGUUGAGAAGGUAGUUUAGGUUCCACAGCCCGUUCAGUCUUUAGUCUUU